UACGAAGGGGACUAGCGUUGUUCGGAAUCACUGGGCGUAAAGCGCACGUAGGCGGAUGUGUCAGUCAGGGGUGAAAUCCCGGGGCUCAACCUCGGAACUGCCUUUGAUACAGCACGUCUCGAGUCCGGAAGAGGUGGGUGGAAUUCCUAGUGUAGAGGUGAAAAUUCGUAGAUAUUAGGAAGAACACCGGUGGCGAAGGCGGCCCACUGGUCCGGUACUGACGCUGAGGUGCGAAAGCGUGGGGAGCAAACAGG
rnacentral:rRNA from 1 species